rnacentral:rRNA from 1 species
AGCGUACACGGUGGAUGCCCUGGCAGUCAGAGGCGAUGAAGGACGUGCUAAUCUGCGAAAAGCGCCGGCGAGGUGAUAUGAACCUUUGACCCGGCGAUGUCCGAAUGGGGAAACCCAGUGUGAUUCGUCACACUAUCGUUAACUGAAUACAUAGGUUAACGAGGCGAACCGGGGGAACUGAAACAUCUAAGUACCCCGAGGAAAAGAAAUCAACCGAGAUUCCCCCAGUAGCGGCGAGCGAACGGGGAGCAGCCCGGAGUCUGAAUCAGCUUGUGUGUUAGUGGAACGGUCUGGAAAGUCCGACGGUACAGGGUGAUAGUCCCGUACACGAAAAUGCACAGGUUGUGAACUCGAAGAGUAGGGCGGGACACGUGGUAUCCUGUCUGAAUAUGGGGGGACCAUCCUCCAAGGCUAAAUACUCCUGACUGACCGAUAGUGAACCAGUACCGUGAGGGAAAGGCGAAAAGAACCCCGGCGAGGGGAGUGAAAAAGAACCUGAAACCGUGUACGUACAAGCAGUGGGAGCCUACUUGUUAGGUGACUGCGUACCUUUUGUAUAAUGGGUCAGCGACUUAUAUUCUGUAGCAAGGUUAACCGAAUAGGGGAGCCGAAGGGAAACCGAGUCUUAACUGGGCGUUAAGUUGCAGGGUAUAGACCCGAAACCCGGUGAUCUAGCCAUGGGCAGGUUGAAGGUUGGGUAACACUAACUGGAGGACCGAACCGACUAAUGUUGAAAAAUUAGCGGAUGACCUGUGGCUGGGGGUGAAAGGCCAAUCAAACCGGGAGAUAGCUGGUUCUCCCCGAAAGCUAUUUAGGUAGCGCCUCGUGAACUCAUCUUCGGGGGUAGAGCACUGUUUCGGCUAGGGGGCCAUCCCGGCUUACCAACCCGAUGCAAACUACGAAUACCGAAGAAUGUUAUCACGGGAGACACACGGCGGGUGCUAACGUCCGUCGUGAAGAGGGAAACAACCCAGACCGCCAGCUAAGGUCCCAAAGUCAUGGUUAAGUGGGAAACGAUGUGGGAAGGCACAGACAGCCAGGAUGUUGGCUUAGAAGCAGCCAUCAUUUAAAGAAAGCGUAAUAGCUCACUGGUCGAGUCGGCCUGCGCGGAAGAUGUAACGGGGCUAAACCAUGCACCGAAGCUGCGGCAGCGACGCUUAUGCGUUGUUGGGUAGGGGAGCGUUCUGUAAGCCGUUGAAGGUGGCCUGUGAGGGUUGCUGGAGGUAUCAGAAGUGCGAAUGCUGACAUAAGUAACGAUAAAGCGGGUGAAAAGCCCGCUCGCCGGAAGACCAAGGGUUCCUGUCCAACGUUAAUCGGGGCAGGGUGAGUCGACCCCUAAGGCGAGGCCGAAAGGCGUAGUCGAUGGGAAACAGGUUAAUAUUCCUGUACUUGGUGUUACUGCGAAGGGGGGACGGAGAAGGCUAUGUUAGCCGGGCGACGGUUGUCCCGGUUUAAGCAUGUAGGCGGAGGUUCCAGGUAAAUCCGGUACCUUUUAACGCUGAGGUGUGAUGACGAGGCACUACGGUGCUGAAGUAACAAAUGCCCUGCUUCCAGGAAAAGCCUCUAAGCAUCAGGUAACACGAAAUCGUACCCCAAACCGACACAGGUGGUCAGGUAGAGAAUACCAAGGCGCUUGAGAGAACUCGGGUGAAGGAACUAGGCAAAAUGGUGCCGUAACUUCGGGAGAAGGCACGCUGAUAUGUAGGUGAAGCCCCUGCGGGUGGAGCUGAAAUCAGUCGAAGAUACCAGCUGGCUGCAACUGUUUAUUAAAAACACAGCACUGUGCAAACACGAAAGUGGACGUAUACGGUGUGACGCCUGCCCGGUGCCGGAAGGUUAAUUGAUGGGGUUAGCGGCAACGCGAAGCUCUUGAUCGAAGCCCCGGUAAACGGCGGCCGUAACUAUAACGGUCCUAAGGUAGCGAAAUUCCUUGUCGGGUAAGUUCCGACCUGCACGAAUGGCGUAAUGAUGGCCAGGCUGUCUCCACCCGAGACUCAGUGAAAUUGAACUCGCUGUGAAGAUGCAGUGUACCCGCGGCAAGACGGAAAGACCCCGUGAACCUUUACUAUAGCUUGACACUGAACACUGGUCCUUGAUGUGUAGGAUAGGUGGGAGGCUUUGAAGCGUGGACGCCAGUCUGCGUGGAGCCGACCUUGAAAUACCACCCUUUAAUGGCUGGUGUUCUAACGUAGACCCGUAAUCCGGGUUGCGGACAGUGUCUGGUGGGUAGUUUGACUGGGGCGGUCUCCUCCCAAAGAGUAACGGAGGAGCACGAAGGUUAGCUAAUCCUGGUCGGACAUCAGGAGGUUAGUGCAAUGGCAUAAGCUAGCUUGACUGCGAGAGUGACGGCUCGAGCAGGUGCGAAAGCAGGUCAUAGUGAUCCGGUGGUUCUGAAUGGAAGGGCCAUCGCUCAACGGAUAAAAGGUACUCCGGGGAUAACAGGCUGAUACCGCCCAAGAGUUCAUAUCGACGGCGGUGUUUGGCACCUCGAUGUCGGCUCAUCACAUCCUGGGGCUGAAGUAGGUCCCAAGGGUAUGGCUGUUCGCCAUUUAAAGUGGUACGCGAGCUGGGUUUAGAACGUCGUGAGACAGUUCGGUCCCUAUCUGCCGUGGGCGCUGGAGAAUUGAGGGGGGCUGCUCCUAGUACGAGAGGACCGGAGUGGACGCAUCACUGGUGUUCGGGUUGUCAUGCCAAUGGCACUGCCCGGUAGCUAAAUGCGGAAGAGAUAAGUGCUGAAAGCAUCUAAGCACGAAACUUGCCCCGAGAUGAGUUCU